rnacentral:rRNA from 1 species
CCUACGGGUGGCAGCAGUGAGGAAUAUUGGUCAAUGGCCGGAAGGCUGAACCAGCCAUGCCGCGUGAAGGUCAGUGCCCUAUGGGCGUUAAACUUCUUUUGUGCGGGAGCAAUAAUGGUCACGUGUGGCCAGACGAGAGUACCGUACGAAUAAGCAUCGGCUAACUCCGUGCCAGCAGCCGCGGUAAUACGGGGGAUGCAAGCGUUAUCCGGAUUUAUUGGGUUUAAAGGGUGCGUAGGCUGUGAGGUAAGUCAGCGGUGAAAUGCCCCCGCUCAACGGGGUGAAGUGCCAUUGAUACUGCCUUGCUGGAAUGCGGAUGCCGUGGGAGGAAUGUGUGGUGUAGCGGUGGAAUGCAUAGAUAUCACACAGAACACCGAUUGCGAAGGCAUCUCACGAAUCCGCGAUUGACGCUGAUGCACGAAAGCGUGGGUAUCAAACAGGAUUAGAUACCCCUGUAGUC